GCUCAACCGGGGAGGGUCAUUGGAAACUGGGGAACUUGAGUGCAGAAGAGGAGAGUGGAAUUCCACGUGUAGCGGUGAAAUGCGUAGAGAUGUGGAGGAACACCAGUGGCGAAGGCGACUCUCUGGUCUGUAACUGACGCUGAGGCGCGAAAGCGUGGGGAGCGAACAGGAUUAGAUACCCUGGUAGUCCACGCCGUAAACGAUGAGUGCUAAGUGUUAGAGGGUUUCCGCCCUUUAGUGCUGCAGCAAACGCAUUAAGCACUCCGCCUGGGGAGUACGGUCGCAAGACUGAAACUCAAAGGAAUUGACGGGGGCCCGCACAAGCGGUGGAGCAUGUGGUUUAAUUCGAAGCAACGCGAAGAACCUUACCAGGUCUUGACAUCCUCUGACAACCCUAGAGAUAGGGCUUCCCCUUCGGGGGCAGAGUGACAGGUGGUGCAUGGUUGUCGUCAGCUCAUGUCGUGAGAUGUUGGGUUAAGUCCCGCAACGAGCGCAACCCUUAUUAUCAGUUGCCAGCAUUAAGUUGGGCACUCUGGUGAGACUGCCGGUGACAAACCGGAGGAAGGUGGGGAUGACGUCAAAUCAUCAUGCCCCUUAUGACCUGGGCUACACACGUGCUACAAUGGGCAGAACAAAG
rnacentral:rRNA from 1 species